rnacentral:sRNA from 1 species
AUUUAUGUUACUGUUAAACACUGCUUUGUUUUACAAGUUGCUGUUGGAAUCUCAGCCAAUACUUUUCUCCUCCUUUUCCACAUCUUCACUCUCCUUCUGGAUCACAGACUAAAACCCACUGACUUGAUCAUCUGUCACUUGACCCUCGUCCACAUAGUGAACUUCUUCAUUGCACUAUUAUUGCAGUCUCCACACCUGUUUGCAUCACUGAACUUCCAGAAUGACUUCAAGUGUAAGGCACUUUCCUACCUGAGCAGGGCGAUGUGGGGCCUCUCCAUCUGUACCAUCUGCCUCCUGAGCGUGCUCCAGGCCAUCACCAUCAGCUCCAGCACCUCCUGGUAGGCAAGGUUUAAACAUAAAUCUUCAAAUUACAUUAUCCAUGUUUUCUUCUUUUUAUGGUUCCUCAACUUGUCUUUCAGUAGUAACAGGAUCUUCUACACUGUAGCUGCUUCCAAUGUGACCCAGAUAAAUGUGCUGAAUAUAGGUAAGUACUGCUCAAUUUUCCCCAUGAGCUUCAUCAUCAGGGCCACAUUUCUUAUUCUGACAAGAUUUAGGGAUGUUUUCCUGGUAGGAAUAAUGCUGUUCUCAAGUGCAUACAUGCUGACUCUCUUAUUCAGGCAUCAGAGGUGAUCCCACCACCUUCACAGCAAAGGUCCUUCCCCAGGAGCUUCCCCUGAGAAAAGGACCAUCCAGACCAUACUGCUGCUGGCAAGUUUCUCUGUGGUCAUCUAUUGGGUGGAUUUCAUCAUCUCC